AAUUUGACAUGCGGCUGCCGCAGACAUAUUUGAAGCAAACAACGACGAUGACUUGCCUAAUCUUUCAGACCAAUGAAAUGCAAAACGAUUACCUCAUCUUGAAUCCUCGACAUCAAAUUUGACAUGCGGCUGCCGCAGACAUGUUAAUUUGAAGCAAACAACGACGAUGACUUGCCUAAUCUUUCAGACAAAUGAAAUAUAAAACGAUUACCUCAUCUUGAAUCCUCGACAUCAAACUCCAGUCCUCUACUUUCAUAUUGCUGCAAGUAACAGCAGAGAGAGAUGGCUCAAAAUGGCGGAGGCAGAAGAUGGUCUCUUGAAGGAAUGACUGCUCUUGUCACUGGUGGUACCAAAGGGAUUGGGUUAGUCGAUCGCUCAUUAUCCUGCACACAAAUUUAGUGCUUUAGCUAGACCAUCUUCUACGAGUAGCUUACUAUGAGAUGUUUUGCUUCUAG
rnacentral:lncRNA from 1 species